rfam:Loxodonta africana unplaced genomic scaffold scaffold_81, whole genome shotgun sequence.
GCAGUGCCUUACUCAAGGAGGUGCCGAUCACGUACUCUAAAAUGUUAUCGGAGUCUCUUUGAGUAGAGUAAUGCU